rnacentral:pre_miRNA from 1 species
UUACCCUGUCGAACCGAGCGAGUGAGAAAUUUACCCACCCCUCAGUUUGCAGGGUACAA